GACGAACGCUGGCGGCGUGCCUAAUACAUGCAAGUCGAGCGGACAGACGGGAGCUUGCUCCCUGAUGUUAGCGGCGGACGGGUGAGUAACACGUGGGUAACCUGCCUGUAAGACUGGGAUAACUCCGGGAAACCGGGGCUAAUACCGGAUGGUUGUCUGAACCGCAUGGUUCAGACAUAAAAGGUGGCUUCGGCUACCACUUACAGAUGGACCCGCGGCGCAUUAGCUAGUUGGUGAGGUAACGGCUCACCAAGGCAACGAUGCGUAGCCUACCUGAGAGGGUGAUCGGCCACACUGGGACUGAGAAACGGCCCAGACUCCUACGGGAGGCAGCAGUAGGGAAUCUUCCGCAAUGGACGAAAGUCUGACGGAGCAACGCCGCAUGAGUGAUGAAGGUUUUCGGAUCGUAAAGCUCUGUUGUUAGGGAAGAACAAGGGCCGUUCAAAUAGGGCGGCACCUUGACGGUACCUAACCAGAAAGCCACGGCUAACUACGUG
rnacentral:rRNA from 1 species